rnacentral:rRNA from 1 species
CAGUCGCCACGGUAAUACGUAGGUGGCAAGCGUUGUCCGGAAUUAUAGGGCGUAAAGGGCUCGCAGGCGGUUUCUUAAGUCUGAUGUGAAAGCCCCCGGCUCAACCGGGGAGGGUCAUUGGAAACUGGGAAACUUGAGUGCAGAAGAGGAGAGUGGAAUUCCACGUGUAGCGGUGAAAUGCGUAGAGAUGUGGAGGAACACCAGUGGCGAAGGCGACUCUCUGGUCUGUAACUGACGCUGAGGAGCGAAAGCGUGGGGAGCGAACAGGAUUAGAUACCCCAGUAGUCCCUGUCUCUUAUAC